UCUAAGGUAAGCUAAAAUUUAAAGCUGCUGGGCUCAUAACCCAAAAAUGGCGGAAGCCCCAUAGAA
rnacentral:tRNA from 1 species